rnacentral:rRNA from 1 species
CGCAUCUGUGCAUGCAGCAUAUCAAUAAGCGGAGGAAAAGAAACUAACAAGGAUUCCCCUAGUAACGGCGAGUGAAGCGGGAAGAGCUCAAAUUUGAAAUCUUAAAGGGUUUCCCUUUACGAAUUGUAGUUUAAAGAAGUGUUUUCUGUUGAGGUUUUGGUAAAAGUUCUUUGGAAUAGGACAUCAUAGAGGGUGAGUAUCCCGUAUUUGACCUUUACUUUCAACUUUGUGAUACACUUUCAAAGAGUCGGAUUGUUUGGGAAUGCAGUCCAAAAUGGGUGGUAAGUUUCAUCUAAAGCUAAAUAUUGGCGAGAGACCGAUAGCGAACAAGUACCGUGAGGGAAAGAUGAAAAGAACUUUGAAAAGAGAGUUAAACAGUACGUGAAAUUGUCAAAAGGGAAGCGUUUGACACCAGUGUUGUUUUUCUGAAAAUCAAUUAAAGAACUGUUUAUGCUAAGCUGUUUAGACUUUAUCAGCUAUACUGUUUAGUUUUGAGCCUUUCUUUAAUGCACUUUUCAGUUAACAAGUCAACAUCAAUUUCUUUUGCUGUAAAAAAGCUUGAGGAAGGUGGCUUGAGAUUCGUCUUAAGUGUUUAUAGCCUCUUGCCUAUGCAGUCGGAGAGAUUGAGGUCUGCAGCGUAGAUCCUUCGGGGCUAAAUGCAUUUGUGCUAAGUUAUAGCAUUUUAUAGACAACUUGUUGACUAUGAUUUGUCUUGUAGCUUACUCGCUUAUGUUAUUUUACCUACGCUUAGGAUGUUGAGUCAUCACACAUCUCU